CUGGAACAUGUCACCUGGUAAUCUGUUCACUGGUGGUUUCCUCAGUCCACAUUUCAGAUGCUGGCUUUUUCUGAUAGUAGGAAAUACAGUGACAUGGCCUCACUGCCCAGGACUCCUCAAACUUCUUGCCACAGGAAUGCAACAUUACUUAUUUGCAGACAACUAAAAUUUAACACCCACUCACAGUGUGGUACAUGCAAAAAUCCUGAUACCUGGACAAAGGGUAGCACGAGAUUAAGGGCAACCUUGUGCAGGAGCUCGGGGAAGCCUAGAGAGCAGGGCUUGUCAGAUCUCAAUGGAUGGUCAUAAGACAUGACAGGCACAGGACCACAGCGGAGGUGGCCAGCACCCACCUCUGCUGUUUCAUACAUGCACUCCAACCUCCCCCUGGGCUGCUAUCUGCUUUCAGAGGGUACAAAGACCUUAAUGUAACAAUGACCUACUAAGUUCAUGGCAGGAGAGCCAUCCAGAGGGCCAGCCUCUGUUGCUAGGUGCCCACUGUCAAAUGAUAUCAGACCUUUUGUGUACCGGGGGGAGCAAGCUGAGGUUGCAACAGUAAUGGCCAGCUCCUGCUGCUAUGUUCAUACAACUUCUAGCUCCCUUUCUGACCAGAGUCCUUCCUAAGAGAAAUGGUGUCUGCAACAGGAGACAACCCUGGGCCCCAGUCGGUGGCAAAGUUCGAGCCUCUACUAUCAUAUCCACACAGCUAUAAAUGCCUUCAUUGCCAGGCUAUUGACCUCCUGGGACAAACAGGAAUGUGAAUGAAUGCAAUGACCUACUCUCUGCAGGGGAGGAGAGCUGGACCCCAGUGGGCCCAGAUCUCAGACCAGUUGUGUAAAGGAUCCGCAGUUCUGUGGGGAGCACAAGCAACCUCAUCAGCUGGGAAAGUCAGAGAAAGGGCAGAUGACAACAACGGGAGUCGGUCACAAUGCCCAGCAGGCACAGAUGACAGAUUCUCAGAGCCAGACCCCAACUGACAGGACCAGAACCUGGGAGAGGUGCAGUCGGUCCUCUCCCCAAGUUGACCCGCAAAGCUUCAGAGUCUACCAGGCGGAAGUUUGUGGAGCUACUACGGCU
rnacentral:lncRNA from 1 species